CUCCAGUGUCUCCUUUGACCCCAGAAGACCAUAACAGCUUCCAACAGAAGAUGGUCAUUUUAUAAAACAAAGGCUGGAAACCUGGUGCUAUGGACUUCUUGUUUGUAUCACCCCAAACUUCAUACACUGAAGCCCAGGAGGCUAUUCUUCGUUCCCUUCCUGAACAUGGGCACCUCAGUAUUUCUCAUUGCUGGGCACCCCUGAACUCCAUGAGAACAUACAAGAUGCUGGUGGAACAGCCCCCCAACUCACUUCUUGGAACUAAUGGAGACCUGUGAGCAGCAAGCAGUUCUUAACUGGAGAAACUGCAUAUCAGCCUAUCAUCACAGAUCCUAAUCAGAACAACAGAGGGAGGUAUGUUUCCAUUUCUCUCUUCAAGGAAUCUCUAAGACUCCAGGUUUUGCUGAGAACUCAACCAGGCUGGGACACUUGCUUAAGCUGAGUCAGGAUGCUGAGCUCUGCUUGAGCUCCUUCCAAACUGAUGAAGAGAGAUUAUUCUCCUGCAAGUCUGUCCAGUCUCCUCCCAGGGAGAAAGGAUGUUGUAUUUGUCGAGUACUUUGAACCUUCUCAGGAGAAAGGCAGUGCACGAUUUCAAGACACUCUUCUCAUGCUAUGUAAGACAAAACCAUCAUUAUUUGUUAUUGUCUCAUGUUCAGAAAACUGUUCCACUAGCCGGACAAGUCCUAUGGAAUCACUAUAAAAAGAAGAGAUCUUCCAGGAGUUCGCGAUUUUCUGUGGAGUGUUUUGCACAGUCUUUAUGCUCAGUCAGCCUGCCCUUUCUCCCCUCAUCUCUUUGUUCUUUGUGGGAACCUCUGACUAACAGAAUAGGGGAGUGAAGGAAACUCAAGACAGAAACCUCAACAAUGACUCAUCGACCUUUCUGUCACUUAUUCACCGAAGAGAUACCUUUCUGGACUUCACUGAAAGAACCUGAUUAAAAUACCUGUUCCCACAUUUCAAUUUCAUUUCACAAACAUGGCAACUGUUUACACUGUAAUUUUUGUUUAGUAUUUACAUCAGGAAAGGAAUAAGUUUUGAUUGCAAAGAAGGAUAUGGGUGACCUCGGGAUGUUAUGGUUAAGAAGGUGAAAGGUAAGGACUUCCCUGGAGGUCCAGCAGUUGACUCAGUGCUUCCCCUGCAGGGCGCAUGGGUUUGACCCCUGGUCAGGGAACCAAGAUCCCACAUGCUACCUGUGUAGCCAAAAAGCAGAAGAAAAAAAAUGAUGAAAGGGAAGUAUUAGAGUCAACAGAGUUCUUAGCCAGGUCUCAUUUCCCAAGCUCCCUCAUCCAGUGCUGGUAUCCUCC
ensembl:lncRNA